rnacentral:misc_RNA from 1 species
GAAGGAGUUUAGCAUCUAAUGUGUGACGGAAGUCAUACUCUGAACGUAAUUUCUCAGCUACGGCAAUGAAAUUUUCGAACUCCUCACCAGAAAAUUCAGGGAAAAUACCCACAAUAAAGACUUUCUGCUCACUGCUCAGAUUGCUAGCAUCCUCUGCAGAUUUAAUUUCAGCUGAGGCAGGACCAACUUGUUUCUUUAAGUAUUCAAUGAUACCAUCCGCCUCCCGAGGACCUUUGUAAUCUUGGAUGUUCU